rnacentral:rRNA from 1 species
UACGAAGGGGGCUAGCGUUGCUCGGAAUCACUGGGCGUAAAGCGCACGUAGGCGGGUCUUUAAGUCAGGGGUGAAAUCCUGGAGCUCAACUCCAGAACUGCCUUUGAUACUGAGGAUCUCGAGUCCGGGAGAGGUGAGUGGAACUGCGAGUGUAGAGGUGAAAUUCGUAGAUAUUCGCAAGAACACCAGUGGCGAAGGCGGCUCACUGGUCCGGUACUGACGCUGAGGUGCGAAAGCGUGGGGAGCAAACAGGG